GUUAGCCCUAUUGAUUCAUAUGUUGUUAGGGCAGGGGAGGGGGUCAUUGUCUUGCUGGCCUUUGUAUGUGAUAAAGAGGAGCCACACAAGGGGGAAGGCCUCCUUCUUUGUUUGAUCCCAUGAUAGAUUCAGUCUGCUGAUUAGUUUUUCUAGUAGCGCUCCUUCCCAUGCAGUUUGGUACCAGUGGUCCAUGUUCACUGCCAAAAGGCCUCUCCAGUGUCUGGUAAAUAUUGACCCAUGCAUUUUCCCCUGCUCAGGGGUGCCAACUUGAAUAAAAUAUUGGGAGGGCGGACAGGUAAGCUCCACCCCACAUAAUCUAUCACAAAACUAGGUACACAUACAGUAUUUGAAUGGCAAUGCCCAUCAACCGGGGGGGCGGAGGCUCAAAUAUUUUAUUGGGGGUGGCUGAAAGUACCUUGGCCCCUAGGAAUUGGCUCCUGUGCCCCCCACCCUUUUACCCUUUCUGGGGGAAAUACCCACAAAGUUUU